GGGGUAGUUACGGAUUCGAUUGUUCGCGGAGGGCCUUGUAAGCAUACCGAAGCCCCGGCUUCGUAAAAACGGGAAAUUAAAUUUAAAUGCAAAGACUAAUAAUUUUGCAUACGCUGCUUAAUUUAUAGCGGCUGUUCGGCGCGCGUUACCCGGCGGCGCGCGUACGGGCAUCAUUUUCAGUCGGGGAACGUCCGGCCUCGAACCGAUCGCGGCGGACCGGAUGUAUUCAGCGAUCCACGUCGGCGCGGGUUUGUUCUUCGAAACGCGGCGAAAGGGAUUAAAGAAGAAAUAAGUAUGUAGAAAGCAGGUUUGAAACGGGUAAGACGGCGGUUCAACUCCGCCCUACUCCACCA
rnacentral:tmRNA from 1 species